CAGUAGCCGCGGGAAUACGUAGGUGGCAAGCGUUGUCCGGAAUUAUUGGGCGUAAAGGGCUCGCAGGCGGUUUCUUAAGUCUGAUGUGAAAGCCCCCGGCUCAACCGGGGAGGGUCAUUGGAAACUGGGAAACUUGAGUGCAAGAGGGGAGAGUGGAAUUCCAUGUGUAGCGGUGAAAUGCGUAGAUAUAUGGAGGAACACCGGUGGCGAAAGCGGCUCUCUGGCUUGUAACUGACGCUGAGGCUCGAAAGCGUGGGGAGCAAACAGGAUUAGAUACCCCGGUAGUCCCUGUCUCUUAUAC
rnacentral:rRNA from 1 species